rnacentral:rRNA from 1 species
CAGCCGCCGCGGUAAUACGUAGGGUGCAAGCGUUAAUCGGAAUUACUGGGCGUAAAGCGUGCGCAGGCGGUUCGCUAAGACAGAUGUGAAAUCCCCGGGCUUAACCUGGGAACUGCAUUUGUGACUGGCGGGCUAGAGUAUGGCAGAGGGGGGUAGAAUUCCACGUGUAGCAGUGAAAUGCGUAGAGAUGUGGAGGAAUACCGAUGGCGAAGGCAGCCCCCUGGGCCAAUACUGACGCUCAUGCACGAAAGCGUGGGUAGCAAACAGGAUUAGAUACCCCUGUAGUCCCUGUCUCUUAUAC